rnacentral:rRNA from 1 species
GAUGAACGCUGGCGGCGUGCCUAAUACAUGCAAGUCGAGCGAAUGGAUUAAGAGCUUGCUCUUAUGAAGUUAGCGGCGGACGGGUGAGUAACACGUGGGUAACCUGCCCAUAAGACUGGGAUAACUCCGGGAAACCGGGGCUAAUACCGGAUAACAUUUUGAACCGCAUGGUUCGAAAUUGAAAGGCGGCUUCGGCUGUCACUUAUGGAUGGACCCGCGUCGCAUUAGCUAGUUGGUGAGGUAACGGCUCACCAAGGCAACGAUGCGUAGCCGACCUGAGAGGGUGAACGGCCACACUGGGACUGAGACACGGCCCACACUCCUACGGGAGGCAGCAGUAGGGAAUCCUCCGCAAUGGACGAAAGUCUGACGGAGCAACGCCGCGUGAGUGAUGAAGGCUUUCGGGUCGUAAAACUCUGUUGUUAGGGAAGAACAAGUGCUAGUUGAAUAAGCUGGCACCUUGACGGUACCUAACCAGAAAGCCACGGCUAACUACGUGCCAGCCGCCACGGUAA